rnacentral:rRNA from 1 species
AACGAACGCUGGCGGCAUGCCUAACACAUGCAAGUCGAACGGGAUCCUGGCUUCGGCCAGGUGAGAGUGGCGGACGGGUGAGUAACGCGUGGGAACCUGCCCAUUGGUCUGGGAUAACUGCGGGAAACUGCAGCUAAUACCGGAUGUACCCGAGAGGGGAAAGAUUUAUCGCCGAUGGAGGGGCCCGCGUCAGAUUAGGUAGUUGGUGAGGUAACGGCUCACCAAGCCUACGAUCUGUAGCUGGUCUGAGAGGAUGAUCAGCCACACUGGGACUGAGAUACGGCCCAGACUCCUACGGGAGGCAGCAGUGGGGAAUAUUGGACAAUGGGGGCGAACCCUGAUCCAGCAAUGCCGCGUGAGUGAUGAAGGCCUUAGGGUUGUAAAGCUCUUUUACCAGGGACGAUGAUGACGGUACCUGGAGAAUAAGCCCCGGCUAACUUCGUGCCAGCAGCCGCGGUAAU